rnacentral:rRNA from 1 species
UACGGAGGGUGCGAGCGUUAAUCGGAAUUACUGGGCGUAAAGGGUGCGUAGGUGGUUUGAUAAGUUAUCUGUGAAAGCCCUGGGCUUAACCUGGGAAGGCCAGAUAAGACUGUUAGACUCGAGUACAGGAGAGGGCAGUGGAAUUUCCGGUGUAGCGGUGAAAUGCGUAGAUAUUGGAAGGAACACCAGUGGCGAAGGCGGCUGUCUGGCCUGAUACUGACACUGAAGCACGAAAGCGUGGGGAGCAAACAGG